rnacentral:rRNA from 1 species
GAAACGGCAUGUCUAGUAUAGCAUUAUACCGUGAAACUGCGAAUGGCUCAUUAAAUCAGUUAUCGUUUAUUUGAUAAUACCUUACUACUUGGAUAACCGUGGUAAUUCUAGAGCUAAUACAUGCUGAAAAUCCCGACUUCGGAAGGGAUGUGUUUAUUAGAUAAAAAACCAAUGCCCUUCGGGGCUUUUUGGUGAUUCAUGAUAACUUUACGGAUCGCAUAGCCUUGCGCUGGCGACGGUUCAUUCAAAUUUCUGCCCUAUCAACUUUCGAUGGUAAGGUAUUGGCUUACCAUGGUUUCAACGGGUAACGGGGAAUUAGGGUUCGAUUCCGGAGAGGGAGCCUGAGAAACGGCUACCACAUCCAAGGAAGGCAGCAGGCGCGCAAAUUACCCAAUCCCGACACGGGGAGGUAGUGACAAUAAAUACUGAUACAGGGCUCUUUUGGGUCUUGUAAUUGGAAUGAGUACAAUUUAAACCUCUUAACGAGGAACAAUUGGAGGGCAAGUCUGGUGCCAGCAGCCGCGGUAAUUCCAGCUCCAAUAGCGUAUAUUAAAGUUGUUGCAGUUAAAAAGCUCGUAGUUGAAACUUGGGCCUGGCUGGCGGGUCCGCCUCACCGCGUGCACUCGUCCGGCCGGGCCUUCCUUCUGAAGAACCUCAUGCCCUUCACUGGGCGUGCUGGGGAAUCAGGACUUUUACUUUGAAAAAAUUAGAGUGUUCAAAGCAGGCCUUUGCUCGAAUACGUUAGCAUGGAAUAAUAAAAUAGGGCGUGCGUUUCUAUUUUGUUGGUUUCUAGAGACGCCGCAAUGAUUAAC